AAGUCGUAACAAGGUUUCCGUAGGUGAACCUGCGGAAGGGUCAUUAUUGAAUUCAACUGUUGGGUUGCUGCUGGUUCCAUUAGGUUCAUGUGCACACCCGACUAUUGUCUAUUUCCACCUGUGCACCUUUGUAGACAACCUGUCUGUUUGGUCGAGUCGCUCAAGUAUGCCUUCAAAGCAUUUAUGCUCUUGAAGGAUUUGGGGUCUGAGCUUCUAACGAAGUUCUCUCCCCUGGAGCCUCGACUAGGCGAGCCUGUCUACGUUUUUACACACCCUUUGUAUGUCUAGAAAGUCUUAUUACUGGUCGGAAGGCCCUUUAAUCUUAUCACAA
rnacentral:misc_RNA from 1 species